UACGAAGGGUGCAAGCGUUACUCGGAAUUACUGGGCGUAAAGCGUGCGUAGGUGGUUUGUUGAGUCUGAUGUGAAAGCCCUGGGCUCAACCUGGGAAUUGCAUUGGAUACUGGCAGGCUAGAGUGCGGUAGAGGGUAGUGGAAUUCCCGGUGUAGCAGUGAAAUGCGUAGAUAUGCGGAGGAACACCGAUGGCGAAGGCAAGCCCCUGGGCCGGUACUGACGCUCAUGCACGAAAGCGUGGGGAGCAAACAGG
rnacentral:rRNA from 1 species